rnacentral:tRNA from 1 species
GAGAGAGGCUUGUAGCACUGGAGACUGCUAAUCUUCACGACCUGGGUUAAAAUCCAAGGCUCACUCG